UCGCGUUUCAUUCACGUUCUCAGUUCACACAUCUUCUCUUGCUCUGAAACUCUUCUUCUUUUUGCGAUCUCGAAACUCAUCUUCUGAACCCUAACUCAUCUUCGUUUUUAAUGAUGAAUUGAAGCCAUGGAUUGAAGACUCUCACUGAAUGAUGGAUUGAAGACUCUCAUCUUGCGAUUAUUCUUCGGUUUUUUCCGAUUCUACUUUGGUUCAGGUUAUGACACUGAUUGAUUCUAUUGGACGAUUUGGUACUCUCUAGAGACGGAGGAAGAUCGUAUUGCAAAAAUGGAACUUGCUAACUAUGAGAUGCCAAAGGCCUUUUUCUGAAGCUGGUGAUGAAGUCAAUGUUCAUUAUACUGGAACAUUGCUUGAUGGCACCAAAUUUGAUUCCAGCAGACAUAGGAGAAUCCCUUUCAAUUUCACUCUUGGACAAGAUGAUAUUGUCUUAUAGCCCUGUUGCUCAAUUUUCCCUUUUUCUGGUUCAGUAGACUGAUUUUCAUCUUGUUGGAGCCUUGGAAUUGCUUAGAAUUCUCAUAGACAAGGGACAAACAUAUAUCGGUGUAAUUAAGUUAAACAGAGAUGGCCAUGGUGCUCACCAAAAAAAGUGCUUGUAUUUUGCUUGUUCUUCUUUGUGCUGCCUGGCUAUCCUCUGCUAGGUUGAGCCCCACAGGUGCUACAGAUUUUGAAAUUUCUGAUAGGAAGGCAAGCAUUGAUGCAGCUAGUGCUACAAAAAGUACUAGGGUGAAAAUCAUAGCUGAUCAGGGGAACUUGAACAAACCAAAUGCUAUGCAACUUGUGAAGAAAUCUGGAAAGUUUAAGCCUGCUUCCAGUGUUAGUGUGAGAAGCCGUUUGCUUGAUGAAGAUUCGGGUUUUGUGGCUUUCAGUGCUGAUUAUCAUCGACCAUCGCACCACCCACCUAAGAAUAACAAGUGAAUUCAAUUCAAAGUUUCACCUUAUCAAUUAUGGAAGAUCUUUUAGGUGCAUUUUUGUUCAUGUUGUUGCUUUACCAUAUGCUUUCUGUCACUGAAAUGAGUGCUUAUAUGUGUAAGUUCAUAGGUUAUAUAAAAGUGCUUCUUACAAAUCAAGUUGGAGAAGCAUUUGCAAAUUAUUAGUAAAAUUAAGAGUCUCAUUCUCAUUCCCUAGUGUUUUUGUAAACCGUAUAAUUGAUGUUGUCCCAGAGUUUCUCUCUGUCCAUUACAAAAAGAAGUCAUGUAUUAGUAUGUCGUGUUUUAUUGAUACUAUUCACUAUUCAGUUAAGUUAUGAAAA